rnacentral:lncRNA from 1 species
AAGAAGUUAGGUUAGGUUAAGAUGGUGGUCCCAGGUCCUGGUUGGACUUGGGAUGACCAUUAUGUCAAUGCCUUGGUUGGGGUCAUGACAAGAUGGUAUUAGAACUUUAGGUUCACGGUCAACUAGGAAGUCUACAAAGCCAUAUCGAGUAGAGUCUCUUUUGGAGGUGUGAAGUAACCCUUACUCAUAAGAGAGAGAAUGAGAUAUAUUUA